rnacentral:rRNA from 1 species
GACGAACGCUGGCGGCGUGCUUAACACAUGCAAGUCGAACGGACUCCAUUCACUCGCAAGAGUGAUGAAGAGUCAGUGGCGAACGGGUGAGUAACACGUGAGAAACCUAUCCUGGUCUCUGGGAUAACAGCCGGAAACGGCUGCUAAUACCGGAUGCCGUCGGAGCGUCGCAUGGCGCGCUGACGAAAGGGUUACUGGAUCAGGAGGGUCUCGCGGCCUAUCAGCUAGUUGGUGGGGUAACGGCCUACCAAGGCGUCGACGGGUAGCUGGUCUGAGAGGAUGAUCAGCCACACUGGGACUGAGACACGGCCCAGACUCCUACGGGAGGCAGCAGUGGGGAAUCUUGCGCAAUGGGCGAAAGCCUGACGCAGCAACGCCGCGUGCGGGAAGAAGGCCCUCGGGUUGUAAACCGCUUUCAGAAGGAACGAAAAUGACGGUACUUUCAGAAGAAGGUGCGGCCAACUACGUGC